rnacentral:lncRNA from 1 species
GUAAUAUUAAUCUCAAAUACUUUAAACUUGAAUAUGUAUCUCGGAAGAUCUAAAUUUGGUUCUGUUCUGUUAAUAUCAACUUUGCUUAUUACCUGAUGGUUUGUUUUUCAUUCAUUAUUUCUCCCGGAAUGUUUUGAAAUAAAAUGUAAUGUCACGAAGAGCACUAUCUCUUCAAUUUUACAAAUCAAUCUGAAGCAGAUAAUAUUUCCUUUUCUUCCUUUCUUGCAUUUUGAGAUUUUUUCUUGUGCUAUCCUUUAGAGUUGUUUUGAAUUUUUGGCUAUGUUAUCCCUGUAUUUGUUCCCAAUGACCUUGGCUAAAAAGUUCCCCAGGCUUCAAAAACUUCAGUCUGAAUCCUUCAAACUUAGCAACCACAUCUUGUUGUAAUAAUAAAAAUCUUAUCACAUACUUUACAGUUGGACAAGUCAUAAUAGAACCUCUUUUUACAUAAAUUAUUAUACAGUAGAAAAAUUAUGGACUUGCAGCUCCCACGCAAUUGAAAAUUUCCUGUAUCUUGACCUAAGAACCCCUAUUACUAUCUGUGUUUAUGCAUAUGCUAUACAUGAGGCUAAUAUUACUUUAAACUUCCUUCCUCUUGUACGUUGCAACUCCCGUAGAAAUCAAGAGAGCCAACUGCCCCUCCCUCAUCCCCAAGAAGAGAUGGAAACAUGCAUUAUAGAAAGGGUCAAUGAAGGGAAGGGGGGCCCCACGGAAAUUUGAGAAAUUAUUUUUUGUGUGAAUUUUUAUAUUUUUAUAAUUUUGAACUUUUUUUUUUUUAUAUAUUAUAUUUUAUGUUUCUAAAAAAGAAAUAUUGUUAGUUAAGCCCCUAUUUGACAGCCUUUUUUUCUUUUUCUUUUUUUAAUGUAAAAUGAGUUUUUAAAUAGUAAAUUUGUGAAAAAUGUGUGAUUAAAAAGUAAGAAAAACUUUUAGGUUUACGUGAAAAAUAUUUUAUUGUGAGAAUGUAUGAUUUAAAAUGAGUUUGGGAAUAAAGGAGUUUUAAAAGAAUGGUUGUCAAACUGGGGCUAAAUUAGGCUCCCACUAGACCUCAGUCCUGGUUCCGCCACUGGAAAGGGUGUACGCCUCUUGGUGUAAGUUAUUUAUUUAUUUUAAUUUUUUCACUUGUAUAGUGUUCAAAUCUGGUCAAUUACUUUUACUGGGAUUUAAUGUUUUUGAGCCCCUUUGUGCAUUUUCUUUCAUACUAUGAGAAGGGAUUAAUUAGUUUGUCACCUGCAGGUCCUUGUCGCCACAUAUAUCACAUUUGAUUCCCAUUAGAAGAGAUUAAUACAUUACUUUGCAGUUCUUCGAAGUGCAUAUUGAACCUUGAGCUUCCGGAUUGCAAGUUGUACUUGCUUCAUGUAUAUUUAUUGUGGUAUAAAUUGGAAUGAACUGCCCAUCCGAGAGCAGCAAUAUAUCUCCUGUUUUUAGCAUGAGUCUUGCGAUUUCAACAUUAGUUAUUCACACACUCACCGUGUCUAUGUUUAUUGUACAAGAUCAGUACAAAUGACAAUGGAAUUGCAUCCUCUAAUGAAUUCUGUACAUGUUUUCCUUUUGAUGUUUCCCUUCUUUUCUCUUUGUUUCAAAGAGAGGAAGCAUGUAGUGCAACUUUUUUCUUCUAUGCUUUCAACUCUGUGUGUAGUUGGGGGUACGUUGGAGAGAUAUUUACUAUAAAGUUGUUUGCAACCCCUUGAGAUUGAGAGCUAAUUUACUUGUACAUCCAGAAGAGUUAUAGUAGUGGGAAAGCUAGAUUUGCCUCCAUUGUUUCUCUUUCGUUCAGCUUUGAGCUUAGCUUCGACUAUUUGAAGAAUUGAUUUUCCCCAGGUAACCGAAUACUUUUGUAUGUAAAUAUUGCAUAUUUGAUUUCAUCCAGGGGUUACAGAUUGACCAUAGAACCAUGUUCAAUAAGUGGAAUGCAUUAGCUAUUUGUUCUCACGUUGGACAAUAAGGG